CAUUUGUAAGAAAGCAGUGAUAUGAAGAAAACAAAAAGAGAAAAUCAUGUCAUCUGGGAUUCAAAGAGAAAGAUAGUAACAUAUUCGGUUAGAAAAAAAACAUAGCUGCAAAGAGUCUUCGGAUAAGGAGAUGGAUGAUGCAGCUAAAGAUUGGCGGCGCUUAAGCCUUGACAGAGAAGGUAGCAAGAAACAGAGAAGGGAAAAACGAAUAACAUAUAUAAAUAAUAAUGACACUGUUGAAGUUUAAAUUGAGGAGGACACUACUCGUGGUGACGACCAAUGAUAUCAAAUUUAAAAUAAAUAAAGUUUCAUCUUC